rnacentral:tRNA from 1 species
GCUAUUUUGUCAGAUAAUAUGUGCUAGACUUAGGAUCUAGUUAAAUAGAAAUUGGUUUCUAUAAAUAGCA